rnacentral:rRNA from 1 species
GGGGGGGGGGGGGGGGGGGGGGGGGGGAGGGGGGGGGGGGGGGGGGGGGGGGGGGGGCUCGGGGGGGGGGGGGGGACGGGGGAGGAACGCGCACAGGACUUGGGCCACAGCGCGGGGCAGCAUGUGGGGGCGGAUGCUAAUGCCCAAUACUAUGACAAUAGGGCAUCCGGUCAGUAUGAACGCUAUCAGCGCGAGGUGAGAGCGUUGCGUCCCACAAGCUAGUUGGAGAGGUGACGGCGCACCCAGGCGAUGAUGGGUAGCCGUCCUGAGAGGGAGAUCGGCCACAAGGGGACUGAGACACGGCCCUUAGUCCUACGGGAGGCAGCAGUGGGGAAUAUUGGACAAUGGACCGAGAGUCUGAUCCAGAAAUUCUGUGUGCACGAUGAAGUGUUUCGGGAUGUAAAGUGCUUUCAGUUGGGAAGAAACAAAUGACGGUACCAACAGAAGAAGUGACGGCUAAAUACGUG